rnacentral:lncRNA from 1 species
UUUUCAGAAGGACUACUUUGCAUUAUAUAUCAUUUUUUCUCCAUCCACUCAAACUUCUUGUAGACUUCUUUGCUUUUAUCUGCUGCAAUUAGACAGACAUGUUGCAAAUAAGAUUCCAUAAGACCGGAGUGAACAUAACAUUGUAUUUUUGUGUUUUUUGUUUUCCCAACGGCUAACAAAUGCAGCUGCACUUUUAUUUUUCCGUGAGCCCACGCUUGAGCUGGCCAGUUCGACCAGCCACAGCGGAGGCCACACGUGAUUUUUUUUUGUCGUUUAGUUUAAUACACCACAUGGCUGCAUGCAAGCAGAGAGUAGAGCAUGCAAUUCCUUGCAUUUAUUUCCGAUUUGAAAUAUUCAAAAAGCCAUAACUUUUCACUCGCGCAUUGGAAUUUUAAUCCGUUUGC